rnacentral:misc_RNA from 1 species
AAAAAGCACACAAAGAACAACCUUCGGAUUUGAAGUCUUGCAACAUAUAAAACAGAUUUUGGAUGCAAGAAAUUAACAGAGAGCUAGAAAACCAGAUAGUGAAUGAUCUCUAUUUUCUAAGCAAUACAAGAUCACCAAUCUUUUUCACAAAUAAAGUCCUUCUGGUACGCCUUCCUUCUUCUUGAACAUCACCUUUUCUUUUGCCUUCUUGAAGUCGGCAUGUGUUACCUUCAUACGUCGCUCUCG